GACGAACGCUGGCGGCGUGCUUAACACAUGCAAGUCGAACGCUGAAGACCUGGCUUUUGUUGGGUUGGAUGAGUGGCGAACGGGUGAGUAACACGUGAGUAACCUGCCCUCUUCUUUGGGAUAACGCCCGGAAACGGGUGCUAAUACUGGAUAUUCACUGAUCUUCGCAUGGGGGUUGGUGGAAAGGUUUUUUUUGGUGGGGGAUGGGUUCGCGGCCUUUCAGCUUGUUGGUGGGGUGAUGGCCUACCAAGGCUUUGACGGGUAGCCGGCCUGGGAGGGUGACCGGUCACAUUGGGACUGAGAUACGGCCCAGACUCCUACGGGAGGCAGCAGUGGGGAAUAUUGCACAAUGGGCGAAAGCCUGAUGCAGCGACGCCGCGUGAGGGAUGGAGGCCUUCGGGUUGUAAACCUCUUUCGCUCAUGGUCAAGCCGCAACUGUGGGUUGUGGUGAGGGUAGUGGGUAAAGAAGCGCCGGCUAACUACGUG
rnacentral:rRNA from 1 species